rnacentral:lncRNA from 1 species
UCAGGCGAUCCACCCACCUCAGCCUCCCAAAGUGCUGGGAUGACAGGCGUGAGCCACUGUGCCCGGCCUAAAUGCCAGCUAUUAAAUAACUCAGGGACUGAAGGCUUGAGGACGCAUCAGGUUAAAUAGUAGUCAGUGCAGCCCUGGGAGAUGCUAAGCCUGGGGCUGCCACAGAUGGUGUGGUAUCUGGGGUUCCCCCAAGGCCAUCAGGCCACUCACUAGCAGGUUUCUGGGUGCCGAAGUGGAGCUCCAGGUCGAGGUAUUUCACCAUGUCACUCAGCUUAUCGUAGUCAGAGUCUUCCCCGAGCUGCGAGGGAGGAUGGGAGGUUCAGAGUAGGAGGAGCAGCAGCAGCUGGACUGGCCUCCCACUUCCCACCCUCUGAGGGCUGCCAUAGGGGCUUCCCGAGCAAAAGCACCCAUCAGGUGCUGGGAUAAAGCCCGGAGCAGGAGGAGACUGCAGGAGAAGCCAGAUCAUCCGAGUCACCGGGUGCUGAGCCAGCGCCUCCUGGGGUCAAUCGAGACUCAAGACUUGGAACACUACUCGUGCAGAAGCCAGCAAGGUGGGACUGCAGCGGGGGCAUGAAGGAGCUGUGAAGAGGCUAGAGCCAAGUAAGGGGCUACCGGAGGUGGCUCAGGGGUCUGGCUCUGUCAUCAGGUCUCCUUGGAGAGCGGUGAGUUCACCAGGGCUGCCCUGGGCAGAGUGAGCUGGUGCUGAGAGAACUGCAACUGUGACAGCCUAGGGGCCAGACGCUGGACACGUGGCUGUGAUGAAUGGCAUAGAUGAGAGACCGCCACACCUCGCCUCACCCGCCUCCCUCCACACCUGCUUGCGUGCCCACCUCCUCGUAGUCGUUCUCCGGGGUCAGGAAAUCAUCCACGAUGGUGACCCGGGGGCCCAGCUGCUCGCUCAGCACGUCCAGGAAGCGAGAUGGGGCCUCACUAUGUUGCCAGGCUGGUCUCAAACU